AAACAAGGAGUCCAGCUACCCUUUCUAGUGAGUAAAAGCCUGGAAUGGAAUGCUGGGAAGAGCAGCCUCCAGCCACCUGGGAGUGGGGAUGAUGUGGAAGGAGGCCAGACCUCCCCUGCAACUCUUUCUCCAUCCUACCUGGAGGAUGAGAAUAAGGGAUGAGAGAUUGCCUUCAUGCCCUCCCUCCUCUUCAGUAAAUAUUUGACACCAACUGGGAACCAGGUACUGGACAGAGCGUGGAGGUGAGUUAGGCCUUGCCUUUUCUAAAGCCCACAAGUUUUGGUCCCCAGGAGGGGGAAGGUGAUGAGUAUUCCAGAGACUCUCCAUGAUGUCCUAGCCUCAAUCCUGAAAGUCCUAGGCAUGAGGAAGCAAGGGGCAGAAGGACCCCCACAGGCUGCAAGAGAGGAGAGUUGGACCUCGAAGAAGUCUUCUGUUUCUUCCUAAGAAAUGGCUGUGGCUGCGACAGAGAGGGGAGAAUGUCUUCUCCAAAGCCAGUGAUCAUCCUUGAAAACUCCCCAGGGUGGUCUACUCCCCCAGUGUUCCCUGACCUGCCCCCUCCCCCAAGGCAGAGCCCUCAGACAUAGAUCUGAGAGCACAUUCUGGUCCUUCUCUGUCCAUAUAGAGUGACCACUUCCUCAGGCCACCCCAAGGAAUAGGGCAAGGGGUCAGGGGAUAUGAAGCAGUGAGUCCCCUCUUUAGUUUUUCGAAUAAAGUAGUUCUAGCCCUGCCACAUCCCAUUAUGCUUUUGGAAAGUGGGGAAAAGCUACUUCAGUCAAUAAAAAGUUCCAACCAGGGACUUCCCUGGAGGUCCAGUGACUAAGACUCUGCUCCCAAUGGAGGGAACCCAGGUUCGAUCCCUGGUCAGGAAACUAGAUUCCAUAUACUGCAACUAAGAGUUCGCAUGCCGCAACUAAGACUCAGCACAGCCAAAUAAAUAUUUUAAAAGUUCUGACCAUUAUCCCUCUGCUCCACUCUCCCUGCCAGAGUCUUUGGGCCCCUAGGGGCAGUGGCAACCUCUGAGCAGCAGCUCUUGGAGCCCAGCAGGUAUGGUUCCUCAUCACUUUGCCCUUCUUCCUCAUCUAUGAGUCUGAGGAGAUGACACAACAGGCCCAGAGAGCUCCAGGCCAGAUCUCUCUAAGUGGAGCACUAGCCAGCUGUCCUGACAGAAAUCACAUAUAUCUAAAAAAGCAUCUUGUAUAUCUUAAUGAUUUCUCAACAGCCCCUGAUUGAAGCAUGCUCAAUUUAGCCGUGCCGUAAGUAACUUUUUAUAUUUCCUUGGGGAAUCAUUUCACUUAUGAAUCUUUUCUGAAUCUGCAAUCUCGAUUAAAAGUUGAUUUUUUUUUUCUUGUCUCUGUCUCCUCAGCUUCUGAGAUGUUUCCCUAGCGAAAAGGGUGGUAGCACCAUCAAUCCUCUCUUGUUAGCCUGUCUGGGUCAGGAGAAUUCUUCCUGAAGGGUCCUGGAAGCAGCAGUCAAGCCUCUUCUGUGAUAGCACCUGGGGCUUUGUGAUGUGAGGGGGAGCUGCCCUGGCCAAGGGGCUUAUAGAGAGGUUGGGCGCAUUGCCAGUCUCCUACCCAUAUACACUCCCCUACCAGCCCCCCCUACACACAGCGUUACACUGGGGGAACUGUCUAGCCCAUUCUGCCUUUAGAAUGUCUCCUCACUAGUAG
ensembl:lncRNA